rnacentral:rRNA from 1 species
CACGUAGUUAGCCGGGGCUUCUUCUGCAGGUACCGUCGAUGUUCUUCCCUGCUGAAAAGCGGUUUACAACCCGAAGGCCGUCAUCCCGCACGCGGCGUUGCUGCGUCAGGGUUUCCCCCAUUGCGCAAUAUUCCCCACUGCUGCCUCCCGUAGGAGUCUGGGCCGUAUCUCAGUCCCAAUGUGGCCGAUCGCCCUCUCAGGCCGGCUACCCAUCGCAGGCUAGGUGGGCCGUUGCCCCGCCUACUACCUAAUGGGCCGCGACCCCAUCCCGCACCGUCGGAGCUUUCCUCCGUGGCGCAUGCGCGCCUCGGAGAGUAUCCGGUAUUAGCCGCCGUUUCCGGCGGUUGUCCCCGGGGGUGCGGGGGUCAGGUUGGUCGACGUGUUACUCACCCGUUCGCCACUGUAUGUCCGCCCCGAAGGGCGGUUUAACCGUUCGACUUGCAUGUGUUAGGCACGCCGCCAGCGUUCAUCUCGAGCCAGGAGUCAAACUAC